rnacentral:misc_RNA from 1 species
UUUCCGUAGGUGCACCUGCGGAAGGAUCAUUACAGAGUUCAUGCCCUCACGGGUAGAUCUCCCACCCUUGAAUAUUUAUACCUUAGUUGCUUUGGCAGGCCGUGGAAACACCAUGGGCUCCGGCUUAUGCGUGCCUGCCAGAGGAAACAAACUCUGUUUUUAGUGAUGUCUGAGUACUAUAUAAUAGUUAAAACUUUCAACAACGGAUCUCUUGGUUCUG